rnacentral:rRNA from 1 species
GUGGGGAAUCUUAGACAAUGGGGGCAACCCUGAUCUAGCCAUGCCGCGUGAGUGAUGAAGGCCUUAGGGUCGUAAAGCUCUUUCGCUGGGGAAGAUAAUGACGGUACCCAGUAAAGAAACCCCGGCUAACUCCGUGCCAGCAGCCGCGGUAAUACGGAGGGGGUUAGCGUUGUUCGGAAUUACUGGACGUAAAGCGCGCGUAGGCGGAUUGGAAAGUUGGGGGUGAAAUCCCGGGGCUCAACCCUGGAAUGGCCUUCAAAACUCCCAGUCUUGAGGUCGAGAGAGGUGAGUGGAAUUCCGAGUGUAGAGGUGAAAUUCGUAGAUAUUCGGAGGAACACCAGUGGCGAAGGCGGCUCACUGGCUCGAUACUGACGCUGAGGUGCGAAAGCGUGGGGAGCAAACAGGAUUAGAAACCCUGGUAGUCC